rnacentral:ribozyme from 16 species
AACUUAAAAAAAAAAAAAAAAAAAAAAAAAAGAAAUCGGUAAGGAAUCUUCUUGUAUGUGUGCGUGUAUCUGUCUGUCUGUCUGUCUGUCCUCUCUCUCUCUCUCUCUC